GGCUCUUCUCCGUGGUCUAGUGGAAAAUUUGCAAUGGUAUGUUGGCGGAGCUCACGGGUUCGAAACCCGCCGGCUCUGCCAGCAUCGGGGUGAUUGGUCGUCACGUCUCGAACCUAGCCGGCGAACCCUAGAUACGGAGGAGAGUCUUU
rnacentral:ncRNA from 15 species